CUGGUGGGUUGCAAGCAAGAGGGAGAGAACAAUUUGGAAAACGAAGAAGCAGGAUAGAAAAAGCUGGGGGAACUGCAAGGGGCCAGGGAUCGAGAGCGCAGUCCAGGGCAAGGACCCUGAGGGUGAUAACCAGAGACUGGCAGAACCGGUGCGGGCGGAGGGGAAGCGAGGCAGGAGAGACGAAGGGAGAGGUGGACAACGAUCUGUGGCAAAUCGCGGGGUGCUGCUAUUCGAGGAGCGGGAGGGUGGCUGCUUUAAGCGUGGGUGGAGGAAGACCAGAAAGGCCCCUGAAAGAAAAAGGGAAGAGAAAGGGAAGCUGGGGAGGUGACACGGAAGAGCGCAGGAGGGCGGUGAGGGGAGAGGGGGUUGGCAGAAAGACAAGUGUGCAGCUUGGAGUCAGGACGAGGCAGCCGCCGCCGGACCUGCUGCUCCCAACAUGGCCGCCACCACCGCCGGCCCUCGGCUCUUUCCGCCGGCAGCAGCCGGAAACAUCCGAAGCGGCUAGAAACGGGAGGUGGGGCGCGCCUUCUCCUCCCGGCCACAGACUACGGGUGAAUUCCGGAAACAGCCGAAGAAGGUAACCCCCGGGGACGCGCGCACCUCCUCGUAAGAAGACGAAGCUUCGGCUCUGUUUACGGAAAUCCACGAAACGACCCCGAUUACCUACCCCCUCAGCUCCCGUCCACAGACAUCCAGCCACGCCCACCGGCCUUUCCCCGCCCACUUCAAGAGGGCUUUCGGCAGUUUCCGGAAAUACCCGAAGCUGCUCCGCGUGCUGAGCCGGCCACGCCCCCUCCCACCGCCCUGCCUAGGGCGGUCGUCGGCCAUUUCCGGCAACACCCGAGGCCCUCCGAGCACCCGGUCGUUUCCCCGGGUGACUCUCGGAAUCUGAUUCGCUUCGUGUCUUUCCGUCAGUUUUCGGGUAUUUUCAAACCUUGAACAGGAAGCAUGGGUCACCUGUUCGUGCUUGUGAUUUGACUAAAUACAAAACAAGAUUGUUAGCCGGC